rnacentral:rRNA from 1 species
AUCUAUGGCCAUGCUAUCCUGAACAAGCCUGAUCCCAUCUGAUUUGGAAGCUAAGAAGGGUCGGGCCUGGUUAGUACUGGAAUGGGAGAUAACUUAGGAAGACCAGGUGCUGUAGGAG